GCUGGGAGUGAUGGCGCGCUCCUGUAAUCCAGCUACUUGGAGGCCAGGUGUUGAGGAUGAUUUGAGGUCGGGAGUUCUGGUGCAUUGUGGCUCACGUUGACUGGGCGUCCGCACUAAGCUCGGCAUCAAUAUGGGCGCCCUGGGGGAGCCCGGGGUGGCCAGGUUGGCUAAAGAGGGGCGGACCGGGCCAGGGGGGAAACCCAGCAGCCAGAAGUCCCCGUGUGGAGCAGUAGUGGGAUUGCGCCUGGGAGUGGGAGCUGUGUAGUAGCCCGACCAAUAAAAUUAGACCAACAUCUUU
rfam:Zootermopsis nevadensis contig12888, whole genome shotgun sequence.